rnacentral:rRNA from 1 species
UACGUAGGUGGCAAGCGUUAUCCGGAAUUAUUGGGCGUAAAGGGCGCGUAGGCGGUGUAUUAAGUUAGAUGUGAAAUCCCUGGGCUUAACCUAGGAACUGCAUCUAAGACUGAUACGCUAGAGUGCGGUAGAGGAUAGUGGAAUUUCCGGUGUAGCGGUGAAAUGCGUAGAUAUGCGGAGGAACACCGAUGGCGAAGGCAAUCCCCUGGGCCUGCACUGACGCUCAUGCACGAAAGCGUGGGGAGCAAACAGG